rnacentral:tRNA from 1 species
CAUUAAGUGACUGAAAGUAAGUAAUGGUCUCUUAAACCAUAAAUAAUAUUCUAACAACUAUUCUUAAUG